rnacentral:rRNA from 1 species
GACGAACGCUGGCGGCGUGCCUAAUACAUGCAAGUCGAACGCAGUUGCGAACGGGUGAGUAACGCGUAGGUAACUGCCUCAUAGCGGGGGAUAACUAUUGGAAACUAUAGCUAAUACCGCAUACUGUGCGAUGGACCUUCGUGGUAUUAGCUAGUUGGUGAGGUAAAGGCUCACCAAGGCGAGGAUACCUAGCCGACCUGAGCGGGUGAGCGGCCAAACUGGGACUGGGACACGGCCCAGACUCCUACGGGAGGCAGCAGUAGGGAAACGUGGGGAAGGGGCGGAAGUCUGACCGAGCAACGCGGCGUGAGUGAAGAAGGUUUUCGGGUCGUAAAGCUCUGUUGUGAGAGAAGCGGUAACUAAACAGAAAGGAACGGCUAACUACGUGCCAGCAGCCGCGGUAAUUC